rnacentral:lncRNA from 1 species
UGAUAAAUAAUGUUUAAAAUAUGUUAAUUUUUAAUAGAGAAGGCCCCAUUUUUUUCAUUUGGCCCUGGGUAGGACCGGCUCUGGAUCCAAGACAAGGAGAAGGCCAAGAUCUAGGACAAGGAGGGCAUCUGGUCAAACCAUAUCACCCUAUCCUUGUUGGCAAACAACUUGACAAUGGCCGAGGGAUUAUUGGUUGGUCAGGCCAAAAGAUCGAUGCUGCCAAGCCUCGGUUCGACAUCCUCAGCCCCC